AGGGGCUGUGUGCGCUGAGGCUGCUGAGCGGCGGGUGAGACGCUGCCCUCCGCGGCUAGAAGUGCUCGGCUGCUGGCACCCGGGAGAUGAAGGUCCAGGGCGGGCCGGAGACGUAGGGGUCCGCGUCCCUGCCCCCAGGCCUGGCAGCUCCCCGCACUGUGGGCGCCCCGCAUCCCGAGCCCCCGCCAGGGCCUUCCUUGGGCUCCCUCAUCCGAGGCUCUGAGGCUGGAGGACCCCGGAGCUCCUGCGCCUCCUGGGGCUGGGGGCCGGGCCUGCCCGUGGCGCUCCUGGCGGGGCCCUCCAUUGGCGUGGGCUUUAAUGGGGGUAGUAAAUGGGGCCGGCGGUUGUGGUUCUCGCUGACGGCUUUGCUCCUAGUUCAUUGUUGUUGGAGGCCGAGUCGUUGAGAGACCCGAGGCGCCCACUGCCCGCUCUUAAAGUCCGGCUGUGUUCAGAGAACGGAAGCCUCCCGGAAUUUAACUGUUUUGGUUUUUUAAUGACUCAAUUUAUGGGGAAAAGACGAAGCGGUUUAGCGUUCAUGGUAAUCCACGAGCCCGUAUUUAAUGUAACAGUUCAGCGCUGCCGGCCCAGGCCAGGGGGAGACACGGGGCGUCCGUGGCAGACGGGAUCUUGCUCUGUUGCCCAGGCUGGUUUUGAACUCCUGGGCUCAAGUGAUUCCCCCUCCUCAGCCUCUCACACUGCUGGGCUUACAGGUGUAAGACAUCUCAUCCAGGUAAGAAUAAUUAGAAAAUAAGUAGGUUGGGCGCGAUGGCUCACACCGGUAACCGCAGCAUGUUGAGAGGCCAAGGUGGGCGGACCACUUGAGGUCAGGAGUUUAAGACCAGCCUGGCCAACAUGGUGAAACCCCGUCCCUACUAAAAAUACAAAAAUUAGCUGGGCGUGCUGGUGAGCACUUGUCCCAGCCACUCAGGAGGCUGAGGCAGGAGAAUUGCUUGAACCCAGGAGGUGGAGGUUGCAGUGAGCCGAGAUUGCACCACUGCACUCUAGCCUGGGCAACACAGGGAGACUCUUGUCUCCAAAAAAGAAAAAAAGUGUCCCCAUGACCAAGCUGAAGAUUUCCCCUAACUGCUCAUAACCCUCUCUCUCCCUCUUAGAUUACCACUGUCAUGACAUAGAGAAAUGUCCUUGCUUUUUAAAAAUAUUUUCCCAUCUCUAUGCAUUCUGACAGUAUCUUGUUACCUGUUUGAAUAAUACCUGUUUAGGAUAAUACUGUAUCGUGUGUAUCUUUUGUUUAACAUUAUGUGACCCGCAUCGUUGUUACAGCUGUAGGCCCUUUUAUUGGUAAGUUUUUUUUUUUUUUUAAUUGAAUGAUUAGUCCGCAGUUUAUCCAGUCGCUGUUACACCUCCAGGUGAGUUGAGUUUGGGACUGUCAGAGUUCGUGCUGACAAUCUUGUCCAUGAGUGCUGGGGCAGCAGUGUAACGUGUGGAGGAUAUAGACCAAGAGGUGAACGGAUUUCCAGUAUUCAGAUUUUUUUUUUUUUUUUUUUUUUUUUGACGCCCAGGCUGGAGUGUAGUGGCGUGAUCUCGGCCCCACUGCAACCUCCGCUUCCCAGGUUCAACGAUUCUCCUGCCUCAGCCUCCCUAGUAUCUGGGACUAUAGGCACCCGCCACCACACUUGGCUAAUUUUUGUAUUUUUAGUAGAGACUGGGUUUCACCAUAUUGGCCAGGCUGGUCUCAAACUUUUGACCUCAGGUGAUCCACCCACCUCGGCUUCCCUAACUGCUGGGAUUACAGGUGUGAGCCACCACGCCCUGCCUCUUCAGCUUUCUAAAGAAUGCCAAGUAUUUUCCAAAGUUGUUCCACUUUGUACUCCCUGUAGCAGUGUAUGAGAGCUCCUGCUAAUAUUAGGCUUUUUAAGUUUUCACCAAUUCGGUAGGCAUGUAAUGGGAUUUAACUAUAGUGUGAAUUUCUUCCAAUAUUUUGAAGGCUUGUGAGGGAAAGAAGCCCUUUUGUUUAAGAGUUUCUUAAGGGGAAUUUAAACCAUAAUUGUAUUAUAGUUAUUUUUGAACAUGUAUAAAGAAAAGGUUUCCAACACUGAAGCUUUAGUUAAGAUAAAAGGUCAUUAAAAUGGGAAGGACCUUACCAGAAAUUAGUUUUCUGGAAUGUGCAAGAUUUUGGAAGAUGCAGUAUUUAAUUUUUUUCUUUUUUUUUUUUCUUUUUUUUUUGAGACGGAGUCUUGCUCUGUCACCUGAGCUGGAGUGCAGUGGCCUGAUCUCAGCUCACUGCAAGCUCCGCCUCCCGGGUUUACGCCAUUCUCCUGCCUCAGCCUCCGGAGUAGCUGGGACUACAGGCGCCCGCCACCACGCCCGGCUAGUUUUUUGUAUUUUUAGUAGAGACGGGGUUUCAGCGUGUUAGCCAGGAUGGUCUUGAUCUCCUGACCUCGUGAUCCGCCCGUCUCGGCCUCCCAAAGUGCUGGGAUUACAGGCUUGAGCCACCGCGCCCGGCCUAAUUUUUUUCUAAUUAAUAAUCUUUAUCACAUGAGAGUAUUUUCACUAUGUGGCUGAAUAAUGUUAACCAGAUAAUUUUCCUGCAGCUCAUCUAACUUAGAUGACUUUUAAUCUAGACAUGCACACCACAGAGCGUGGCAGUGGAACAGUAACCGGGCUUGUGAGACGGCUCUACAGUAUCAACUAGGAGACAAGAUCCACGGAUUCACUGUAAACCAGGUAUGGGUCCUUCUCGGCACCUCCUUAUAAAUCCACAUACAUUGCAGGUGUGGCUUCUGGCAUAUGUACGGGCACUUCAGGGUGGAGACUAGCCUUGUCCUCGUGUCCCAAGGCCCUGGCCCAGCUCCUGUUGCAUGAUGGCUACUCGGCUGAACAGAGCUUGUGAGAGAAAUGACCCCCGGUCCCUUCCUGGAAUGUCGCGAAGCCUGAUUCUUGUCAGAUUUGAGAGAGUAACACUUCCAGCUGGGUCUCUGUCAUCAGACACGCUAGGGUUUCCGCAGCCAAACCUGAAGAUUCGCUGAGUGUGAGCACGAAGACUCAGUGCCCUGAUCUGUUCAGUCAGGUUUUGCCAUCAAAUAGUUUGCUCUAAACUUCUGCAGAAUCUUUCAGUUUUCUGAGCCUUUUGGGUUUCAAAAUUAUAAAGAAGAAAUUGUGGACUUAUACUUACUUGGGUUUAUAUUAAAAUGGAUUCAUUUGUUCUUUGUUUUGUUAUUUGCUUAAACUUUUUCCUUUUUUUUUUUUUUUUUUUUAAGCAUAGUAACUGAAAAUGACAACACUUCACAUAUUUGGCCAGCUGUUGGCUCUGUGCUAUGCUUGAUGUUACAGCAAAUUUAAAAGACACAACUUACCGUCUAGAAAGACUGAUGUGGCUGUGACUGGAGGCACAUGGUGGACGCCAUGCAGAGGGCCAAGGACAAGGGUGGGAGCUGCUGCUGCUGGGGGGAGAGGGAAGAGCUCCUGAAGAGGGUGGUGUGAGAAAGCAGCUGCCUCUGGGCAGGGACCAGGGGGUCCUGGUCAGUGCAGUGACCAGGGGGUCCCAGGCAAGGUCCAGGCAUGGGAGUCCUGACAGCAGACUCAGAGCAUUUUUGAAAUCCUGCAAAGGCCGGGCAAAGACACCUGGGUUUAUAGUACUGGUUACUAUUACUAAAGGCCUCACCCAGAGUGGUAGAUACUUCUUUAUUUUUCAAAUUUUAUAGAAAUGUACUUUUUUGAGAUUGGGACUCACCCUGUCGCCCAGACAGGAGUGCAGUGGCAUGAUCUUGGCUCACUGCAGCCUCAAACUCCUGGGCUCAAGCCAUCCUGUCACCUCAGUCCCCCAAAUAACUGGGACAAGGUGCCCCCAUGCCUGGCUCAUUGUGUGUGUGUGUGUGUGUGUGUGUGUGUGUAGGUGGAAACUUGCUUUGUUGUCUAGGCUGGUCUCAAACUCCUGGGUUCAAGCAAUCCUCUUGUCUUGUGUAUUAAUCUAAUCUCAUAUUGCUGUGAAGAAAUACCCAAGACUGGGUAAUUUAUAAAGAAUGAGCUAAAAAGUAAAGAGGUUUCAUUGACUCACAGUUCUGCAUGGCUGGGGAGGCCUCAGGAAACUUACAAUCGUGGUGGAAGGCACCUCUUCACAGGGUGGCAGGGAAGAAAAUGACAAGUGAAGGGGGCAGCCCCUUAUAAAACCCUCAGAUCUCCUGAGAACGUACUCACUGUCACGAGAAUAACAUGGGGGAACCCCCCUCAUGAUCAAUUACUCCUACCAGGUCCCUCCCACAACGUGUGAGGAUUAUGGGAACUACAAUUCAAGAUGAGAUUUGGGUGGGGACGCAGCCAAACCACAUCACCUUGGCCUUCCAAAAUGCUGGGAUUAAAGGUGUGAGCCACUGUAUCCAGCCAUAGAAACUUAUGAUAAGUCAUGUUUCCGGUUUGAGAAAUAGCUACCAUGAACGCUAUUAUUAUUAAAGCUAUGUAUUAUUAGAAAGCAGACAUCUCACUGUAUCUGCUGAUUUUAAAUGCAUUGAUCAUCUGUUACAAAGCACGGUAAGCUUGGAAACAAGUAAUUUAACAGCGGUAGAUGAUGCAGGUCGUAGUGGGCCACUUAUGCAUGACUGUUGGAUGGCAGGCUCCCUAGAUUGGGCUGAGGAGACCCGAGGUCUCACCUCUGCCAGCGACUUGCUGUGUGUACUUGGUCAGGUGACUCAUGGCACCUGGACGGAGGGGGUGGCAAGUGGUGUGGUGAUCACAGGGACGUGGUAUGUGAUUGAGGGAGAGGGCCGGCUGGCAUGACUGGAAGACAAGACAGUUUCUUUCAUACCGAGAAGUAUGGACACUUACCAGGAGGCUUACCUAGAGUAGGAGAAGACCUUCCACCUCGCUCAGGAGUGGGGAGUCUUUCAUCUUUUUGGGGGGCAUUUCUAUCCUCCCAGCCCCUCCAGCUGUUCUGGAAGCCCCAGCUUUGUGCUUCCAGCUACCAUCGAGGAUCCAUCCCACACUAGGAGAAGCAAAGACUGAUGCUGGAGCCUCUCCCCGCUGUCGCCAGCUAGCCCACUCCAGCAUUUCCCCUCCCUGCAGGCCCGUUCUGCGUACAGCAGGAGAUUAUAUGCAUAGAAACAGGAGACACACGGCCGAUGUUGGAAGGGGUGCUGUGUUACUGAGAUGCAGUACACAAAAGCAGGAGGCACUCAGCAGACGUUGCAAAGGGUGCUGUGUUACUUAGGUGCAGCACAGUACUGUGGGAAGGGCAGACACCAGGGUGAAUCCUGGCUCUGUGAUUUGGGCAGCUUAUGUCAUCACCCUGAGCCUCAGGUUUUUCAUCUGUAAAUGAGGAUGAGAAUACCUCCCUCACAGAGUAUAUGUGACAUGAUUAGAAAAUGCCUAGCCAAAAAAUAAUAAAAAAUUUAAAAAAUAGAAAAUACCUAGCCA
ensembl:lncRNA